AUUCAGGCCCCUUUGCAGUUACAAUAGUUGCUUUUUUGACAGGCUGCGAAAAUUUUCCUGAGAAAUGUAAGGAAGAGAAGGGAAUUGAGCAGAAGCAAAACGCUGACAAAGAACAAUAGUGCACCAGAGAAACAAAUAGGCAAUAUUUCCUUCUCCCACACUAUUUGGCGUCUGAUGACCUCACACUGGCCACAGAAAGAAAUCACCUUCUUUGGAGAAUGAUGUCGUAUAUUUCUUUGACACUGGAAACAAUGUGCUUCUUUAUUCAAGUCAGUACUGAUAACACCGUAUCUGUU
rnacentral:lncRNA from 1 species